rnacentral:rRNA from 1 species
UGGGGAAUUUUGGACAAUGGACGCAAGUCUGAUCCAGCCAUGCCGCGUGCGGGAAGAAGGCCUUCGGGUUGUAAACCGCUUUUGUCAGGGAAGAAACGAGUUUCUCUAAUACAGAGACUUAAUGACGGUACCUGAAGAAUAAGCACCGGCUAACUACGUGCCAGCAGCCGCGGUAAUACGUAGGGUGCGAGCGUUAAUCGGAAUUACUGGGCGUAAAGCGUGCGCAGGCGAUGAUGUAAGACAGAUGUGAAAUCCCCGGGCUCAACCUGGGACCUGCAUUUGUGACUGCAGCGCUGGAGUGCGGCAGAGGGGGAUGGAAUUCCGCGUGUAGCAGUGAAAUGCGUAGAUAUGCGGAGGAACACCGAUGGCGAAGGCAAUCCCCUGGACCUGUACUGACGCUCAUGCACGAAAGCGUGGGGAGCAAACA